AGUGAGGUGGCCGAGUUUAGGCAAAAGACUGUAGAUCUUUCAACGGAUACUUCCCCUCAUUA
rnacentral:tRNA from 1 species